rnacentral:rRNA from 1 species
UACAGAGGUCUCAAGCGUUGUUCGGAUUCAUUGGGCGUAAAGGGUGUGUAGGUGGCGCCGUAAGUCGGGUGUGAAAUUUCGGAGCUUAACUCCGAAACUGCAUUCGAUACUGCUUUGCUUGAGGACUGGAGAGGAGAUUGGAAUUCACGGUGUAGCAGUGAAAUGCGUAGAUAUCGUGAGGAAGACCAGUGGCGAAGGCGGAUCUCUGGACAGUUCCUGACGCUGAGGCGCGAAGGCCAGGGGAGCAAACGGG